GGGGAAUCUUCCGCAAUGGACGAAAGUCUGACGGAGCAACGCCGCGUGAGUGAAGACGGCCUUCGGGUUGUAAAGCUCUGUUAUACGGGACGAAUAAUCUUGUGGUUAAUACCCAUGAGAAGUGACGGUACCGUAAGAGAAAGCCACGGCUAACUACGUGCCAGCAGCCGCGGUAAUACGUAGGUGGCAAGCGUUGUCCGGAAUUAUUGGGCGUAAAGGGCGCGCAGGCGGCUUCUUAAGUCUGUCUUAAAAGUGCGGGGCUUAACCCCGUGAUGGGAUGGAAACUGGGAAGCUCAGAGUAUCGGAGAGGAAAGCGGAAUUCCUAGUGUAGCGGUGAAAUGCGUAGAUAUUAGGAGGAACACCAGUGGCGAAAGCGGCUUUCUGGACGAAAACUGACGCUGAGGCGCGAAAGCCAGGGGAGCGAACGGGAUUAGAUACCCCGGUAGUCCUGGCCGUAAACGAUGGGUACUAGGUGUAGGAGGUAUCGACCCCUUCUGUGCCGGAGUUAACGCAAUAAGUACCCCGCCUGGGGAGUACGACCGCAAGGUUG
rnacentral:rRNA from 1 species